AUUUAAAUAGUUUAUUGAAAACACUGGUCUGUGGCUCCAGAGAUAUAACAUAUAGUUAUUUUAGAUC
rnacentral:tRNA from 1 species